rfam:Ovis aries breed Texel chromosome 2, whole genome shotgun sequence.
UCGCUGCUGGCUCAGAUGGUAAAGAAUCUGCCUGCAAUGCAGAAGACCUGGGUUCAGUCCCUGGGUUGGGAA